ensembl:snRNA U6 U6 spliceosomal RNA
GUGCUCCCUUCAGCAGCACAUAUACUAAAACUGGAACCAUACAGAGAGAAUUAGCAUGGCUCCUGCGCAAGGAUGACACGAGAAUUCGUGAAGCGUUCCAUAUUUAA